AGAAUCAACGCUGGCGGCGUGCCUAACACAUGCAAGUCGAACGAGAAAGGGUAGCAAUACCUGAGUAAAGUGGCGCACGGGUGAGUAACACGUGACUAACCUACCCUAGAGUGGGGGAUAACUGAGGGAAACCUUAGCUAAUACCGCAUAAUACCCACGGGUCAAAGGAGCAAUUCGCUUUAGGAGGGGGUCGCGGUCGAUUAGUUAGUUGGCGGGGUAAUGGCCCACCAAGACUUUGAUCGAUAUCC
rnacentral:rRNA from 1 species